ACGAACGCUGGCGGCUGCUUAACACAUGCAAGUCGAACGGAGUGGCGAACGGGUGAGUAACGCGUGAGCAACCUGCCUAUGACAGUGGGAUAGCCUCGGGAAACCGGGAUUAAUACCGCAUAGUCAUAGAUGGGCUCGCGUCUGAUUAGCUAGUUGGUGAGAUAACAGCCCACCAAGGCGACGAUCAGUAGCCGGUCGGAGAUGAUGAACCGCCACAGUGGAGCUAAGACACGGUGCAAACUCCUACGGGAAGCAGCAGUGGUGAAUAUUGCACAAUGGGGGAAACCCUGAUGCAGCGACGCCGCGUGAACGAAGGAGGUAUUCGUAUCGUAAAGUUCUGUCCUAUGGGAAGCAGUACCAUAGAAGAAAGCACCGGCUAACUUCGUGCCAGCAGCCGCGGUAAUUC
rnacentral:rRNA from 1 species